rnacentral:misc_RNA from 1 species
GUUUAGUUGCUUCACAAUCCUUUGAUAGUCAAUUCCGAAGGGUUUCAUACUCAGACCUUCAAAAGGCAACAGAAGGUUUCUCUGAAUUGAAUUUAAUUGGUGUUGGAAGUUACGGCUCUGUCUACAAAGCAAUUCUUGAUCCAGAUGAAACUGUCGUUGCUGUAAAGGUGCUCAAUCUUCAUCAACAAGGAGCGUCGAAGAG